GUCUAUGGCCGUACCACCCUGAACCUGCCGAAUCUCAUCUGAUCUUGGAAGCUAAGCAGGGUCGCGCCUGGUUAGUACUUGAAUGGGAGACCACCUGGGAAUACCGGUGGCUUUAAAAA
ensembl:rRNA 5S_rRNA 5S ribosomal RNA